rnacentral:rRNA from 5 species
UACCCGCUGAGUUUAAGCAUAUCAAUAAGCGGAGGAAAAGAA